rnacentral:rRNA from 1 species
AGAGUUUGAUCCUGGCUCAGAACGAACGCUGGCGGCGUGCUUAAGACAUGCAAGUCGAGCGAGAAAGGGGCUUCGGCCCUGAGUACAGCGGCGCACGGGUGCGUAACACGUGGGUAAUCUGCCUUCGGGUUCGGGACAACGCGGGGAAACCUGCGCUAAUACCGGGCAAGACCACGAGGUCCUCGGAUCUUGCGGUAAAAGGUGGCCUCUUCUUGAAAGCUAUCGCCUGAAGAUGAGCCCGCGCCCCAUUAGCUAGUUGGUGAGGUAAUGGCUCACCAAGGCAGUGAUGGGUAGCUGGUCUGAGAGGACGACCAGCCACACUGGAACUGAGACACGGUCCAGACUCCUACGGGAGGCAGCAGUCGGGAAUUUUGGGCAAUGGGCGCAAGCCUGACCCAGCAACGCCGCGUGAGCGAUGAAGGCCUUCGGGUCGUAAAGCUCUGUCGAGAGGGAAGAAUGUUCUCGGGGUGAAUAAUCCCGGGGAAGCGACGGUACCUCUAAAGGAAGCGCCGGCUAACUCCGUGCCAGCAGCCGCGGUAAUACGGAGGGCGCAAGCGUUGUUCGGAAUCACUGGGCGUAAAGCGCGUGUAGGCGGCUUGGCAAGUCGGGUGUGAAAGCCCGGAGCUCAACUCCGGAACUGCACUCGAAACUGCCUCGCUCGAGUCCCGGAGAGGGUGGUGGAAUUCCCGGUGUAGAGGUGAAAUUCGUAGAUAUCGGGAGGAACACCAGUGGCGAACGCGGCCACCUGGACGGUGACUGACGCUGAGACGCGAAAGCGUGGGGAGCAAACAGGAUUAGAUACCCUGGUAGUCCACGCCGUAAACUUUGGGUGCUAGGCGUCGCGGGUAUUGACCCCCGCGUGCCGCAGCUAACGCGUUAAGCA